GACGGACGCUGGCGGCGUGCUUAACACAUGCAAGUCGAACGGAAAGGCCCCAGCUUGCUGGGGUACUCGAGUGGCGAACGGGUGAGUAACACGUGGGUGAUCUGCCCUGCACUCUGGGAUAAGCCUGGGAAACUGGGUCUAAUACCGGAUAGGACCGUGCUUUAGUGGGUGCGGUGGAAAGUUUUUCGGUGCAGGAUGAGCCCGUGGCCUAUCAGCUUGUUGGUGGGGUAAUGGCCUACCAAGGCGGCGACGGGUAGCCGGCCUGAGAGGGUGUACGGCCACAUUGGGACUGAGACACGGCCCAGACUCCUACGGGAGGCGGCAGUGGGGAAUAUUGCACAAUGGGCGCAAGCCUGAUGCAGCGACGCCGCGUGGGGGAUGACGGCCUUCGGGUUGUAAACCCCUUUCGGCAGGGACGAAGCUUUUGUGACGGUACCUGCAUAAGAAGCACCGGCUAACUACGUG
rnacentral:rRNA from 1 species